rnacentral:misc_RNA from 1 species
GAUGAAGAACGCAGCGAAAUGCGAUAAGUAGUGUGAAUUGCAGAAUUCAGUGAAUCAUCGAAUCUUUGAACGCACAUUGCGCCCCUUGGUACUCCAUGGGGCAUGCCUGUUCGAGCGUCAUUUACACCCUCAAGCUCAGCUUGGUGUUGGGCGUCUGUCCCGCUUCGUGCGCGGACUCGCCUCAAAUGCAUUGGCAGCGGUCUUGCCAGCUUCUCGCGCAGCAUAUUGCGCUUCUAGAGGCUUUGGCGGAUCGGCGUCCAUCAAGUACACCCACAGUUUGACCUCGGAUCAGGUAGGGAUACCCGCUGAACUUAAGCAUAUCAAUAAGCGGAGGA